GCCACCCCCACCCUAAUCUUUUAUUUUGCAGAUGGGUUCUCUACCUGGCCAGUGCCAUGUUGCCUGUUUCUUUACUGUAACUGUGGUGACAAAGAAAAGGGAAGAUGGAGCCUCCAUGUUGAACAUACCUGGCCCCCAGCACUAACUCCCUCUCUGGAUAUCUGGAACAAGGAGGACCUUAAACUUAACAAUAAAGCCAAUGAUGGUUCUACCAGUCUCCCCAAAGCCUCAAGUUUAAAAGCCAUAUGAACUGGCUGAUAGUGGAAAAU
rnacentral:lncRNA from 10 species